CCUACGGGAGGCAGCAGUGGGGGAUAUUGCACAAUGGGGGAAACCCUGAUGCAGCGACGCCGCGUGGGCGAAGAAGUAUUUCGGUAUGUAAAGCCCUAUCAGCAGGGAAGAAGAAAUGACGGUACCUGAGUAAGAAGCACCGGCUAAAUACGUGCCAGCAGCCGCGGUAAUACGUAUGGUGCAAGCGUUAUCCGGAUUUACUGGGUGUAAAGGGAGCGCAGGCGGCACGGCAAGCCUGAUGUGAAAGCCCGCGGCCGAACCGCGGGACUGCAUUGGGAACUACCGGGCUGGAGUGCCGGAGAGGUAGGCGGGAUUCCUAGUGUAGCGGUGAAAUGCGUAGAUAUUAGGAGGAACACCAGUGGCGAAGGCGGCUUACUGGACAGUAACUGACGUUGAGGCUCGAAAGCGUGGGGAGCAAACAGGAUUAGAUACCCCGGUAGUC
rnacentral:rRNA from 1 species